rnacentral:rRNA from 1 species
CCUANGGGGGGCAGCAGUCGAGAAUUUUUCUCAAUGGGGGAAACCCUGAAGGAGCGACGCCGCGUGGAGGAUGAAGGUCUUCGGAUUGUAAACUCCUGUCAUUUGGGAACAAGUUGCAUUGGUUAACUGCCGAUGCAUUGAUAGUACCAGAAGAGGAAGAGACGGCUAACUCUGUGCCAGCAGCCGCGGUAAUACAGAGGUCUCAAGCGUUGUUCGGAUUCAUUGGGCGUAAAGGGUGCGUAGGUGGCGAGGUUAGUCAGGUGUGAAAUCUCGGGGCUCAACCCCGAAACUGCACUUGAUACUGCCUUGCUAGAGUACUGGAGAGGAGAUUGGAAUUUACGGUGUAGCAGUGAAAUGCGUAGAUAUCGUAAGGAAGACCAGUGGCGAAGGCGAAUCUCUGGACAGUUACUGACACUGAGGCACGAAGGCCAGGGGAGCAAACGGGAUUAGAUACCCCGNUANUC